GGCAGGCCUAACACAUGCAAGUCGAGCGAAGUCUUCGGACUUAGCGGCGGACGGGUGAGUAACGCGUGGGAACAUACCCUUUGGUACGGAAUAGCCUCGGGAAACUGGGAGUAAUACCGUAUGUGCCCUUCGGGGGAAAGAUUUAUCGCCAAAGGAUUGGCCCGCGUUGGAUUAGGUAGUUGGUGGGGUAAUGGCCUACCAAGCCGACGAUCCAUAGCUGGUUUGAGAGGAUGAUCAGCCACACUGGGACUGAGACACGGCCCAGACUCCUACGGGAGGCAGCAGUGGGGAAUCUUAGACAAUGGGCGCAAGCCUGAUCUAGCCAUGCCGCGUGAUCGAUGAAGGCCUUAGGGUUGUAAAGAUCUUUCAGCUGGGAAGAUAAUGACGGUACCA
rnacentral:rRNA from 1 species